rnacentral:rRNA from 1 species
GAUGAACGCUGGCGGCGUGCUUAACACAUGCAAGUCGAACGAACAGGCCCGGCUUUUGCUGCGCUGUCGUUAGCGGCGGACGGGUGAGACACGCGUGGAUAACCCACCUAUCUGAGUGAUAUCUCUUCGAGAAACCGGAGCAAAUACCGGAUGAGAUCUUGAACCGCUGGGUGCUGUAGAGAGUGACGGUUUUUGGGGCAGUUCUCGAUGGAUCCGCGCGUUAUUAGCUUGUUGGUGGGGUAACGGCUUACCAAGGCGCCGAUGGGUAGCCGGCCUGAGAGGGUGACCGGCGACAAUGGGACUAAGAGACGGCCCAGACGCCUACGGGAGGCAGCAGUGGGGAGUAUUGCACAAUGGGCGCAAGUCAGAGGUAGCGACGCCGCGUGCGGGAAGACGGGCUUCGGGGGGUAAACCACUUUCUGAGGGGAUGAAGCGGUAGUGACGGUACCUGAUCAAGAAGCACCGGCUAACUACGUG